GAUGAACGCUGGCGGCGUGCCUAAUACAUGCAAGUCGAGCGAACAGGCUAGGAUCUUGCUCCGCUGACGUUAGCGGCGGACGGGUGAGUAACGCGUGGAUAACCUACCUGUAAGACGGAGAUAACUUCGGGAAACGGGAGCUAAUACCGGAUAAUAUAUUGAACCGCAGGGUUCAAUAGUGAAAGACGGUUUUGCUGUCACGUAUAGAUGUAUCCGGGCCUCUUGGGAUGGUGGUGAAGUUAACGGCCUACCAAGGGGACGAGGCGUAGCCGACCGGAGAGGGGGAUAGCCCACAUUGGAAGUGAGCCACGGUCCAGACUCCUACGGGAGGCACCAGUAGGGAAUCUCAGGCAAGGGGGGAAAGACUGACGGAGAAAGCCAGCGUGAGUGAUGAAGGUCUUCGGAUCGUAAAACCGUGUUAUUAGGGAAGAACAAAUUUGUAAGUAAAUAUGCACGUCGUGACGGUAACUAAUCAGAAAGCAACGGCUAACUACGUG
rnacentral:rRNA from 1 species